GGUGCAGGAUCCAGAAAAGAGAAGCCAGUAGUGAACACUGACCGUGGACAACAGAUGAAACAGACAGACGAACUAUCGCAAGAAGGUGUGGAUACAACAGUACAUUGAGAGCCGAGAAGGAAGGACUGUGCUGGAGUACUAAUUCUGAACAUGGCACUAGGUCUUUCAUGAACCCAAGGAGCUGAUAUAUUUCCAGAAACCCACCCCAUGGUACAUGCUCAGAUGGGAAGGGCUUGAACCACCCAACUAGAAGCAGAACACAGACAGAUGUUUUCCUCAGGAUGUUGCUAAGAAGAAUGGAGAUAGUAAGUCUAAAUCAGGAUCUGGCAACGGACAUUCGUGCUCAUCUCCUGCGGUAAUCGGAGCAUAGGGAAGGAUUCUCGUAUGGGGGGGAUCUUCUCAGUACGAAUAUCCCGAUUGACCAGACUUAGAGUCCAUCCCGCCAGCCGGGGAGAGGAUACCCUUCCCUCAUUAAUUCUUCCAGAGAUGACAUAUUUUACUGGAGUAUGGCAUGUCCUCACCACAAUGAGAGCUGUGCCACUUAAAUAUUCCCAAUGUGUUAGGGACCAUACCAGGGCGAAUACCUCACGUUCGCAAGCUGAAAACCUCGCCUCCACCUCACUGAGAGUUUUGGAACCAUAGGCCAUCGGUCUCAC